AUUGAACGCUGGCGGCGUGCCUAACACAUGCAAGUCGAGCGGUAACAGGUGUAGCAAUACAUGCUGACGAGCGGCGAACGGGUGAGUAAUGCUUCGGAAUCUGCCCAUGUAGUGGGGAAUAACCAGCCGAAAGGUUGGCUAAUACCGCAUACGACCCUUGCCCACAAGGCAAAGGUGAAAGCAGGGGAUCGCAAGACCUUGCGCUAUUGGAUGAGCCGAAGUCGGAUUAGCUAGUUGGUAGGGUAACGGCCUACCAAGGCGACGAUCCGUAGCUGGUCUGAGAGGACGACCAGCCACACUGGGACUGAGACACGGCCCAGACUCCUACGGAGGCAGCAGUGGGGAAUAUUGGACAAUGGGGCAACCCUGAUCCAGCGACGCCGCGUGUGUGAAGAAGGCCUGCGGGUUGUAAAGCACUUUUAGU
rnacentral:rRNA from 1 species